rnacentral:rRNA from 1 species
AUGGAUAAUAAGAGACUGUUUGAUGGUGAAAGAAUUUAUGCUCAUGGUGACUACCUCAAGUGUGCCAGAAUGGCUGCUGUUAAACAAGAGGAGGUAGACACAACCAAUGAUACCAGCGGUGGCCAAAUUACCCAUGACGAACCACUAUGUCGGAAGCACAAUAAGCGAUACGAGUAUAUUCAUCGCCCAUGCAAAGCAAGCUCAAUCCAAAAUUUCAAAGGCAAGAAAAUCCAUCUAAAGCCCAGAAAGUUCAUUCUUCAUGGUGAGCCUUGCAAGCACUACUUAGAUGAGUUUAGUCACCUCGUUGUGUGGGGCAACACAGUUAGGCUCUACAACCAUAAUGUUCGUGCACUGCAAAAGAUCAUCCACAACACCACCACGCCUAAUAACUACUAUGUGUGCCACAUGACAGAAACAUUUGCAACACAAGGCAAAAGAAUGUAUUUUAAUGUCCACUUUUCUACGGGUUCCCUUUUCCCACACAUGGAUGCUGACCGCGGUGAACUUCCAAUCACAACUGGAGAUGGAACAAUCACUGUCACAGCCCGCUUUAUCAAGGGAGUUGACAAAAGGGCCACCAUCACUAAAGGCUGGAGCGACUUCUUCCGUCGGACCCACAUGAACGAAGGGCAAGCAUAUGCUUUCGGAUUCAAAUGCACUUCCAAGGGAUUGUACCUGAUUGUCUACUAA